GGGCGCAUGGUGUAGUCGGCUAUCACGUGUCCUUUACACUCUUUGUGUGAUCGGAUAAGGUCCUCAGUUCGAUCCUGGGUGCGCUCA